AGAUCACAUGGUGACUUGCAAAUAACUUAUUGUACUUUGAUGUCGGACUACCUGAAUUUUUAAUUCAACGAUGAAAGUUUUUUAGCACAGUCAAGUACUUGUGGUAGUCGGUAUAUGAGUCAAAAUGGGAUUGACCCUUUCAGAUUUAGGAGUUAAUGCAUCAGUGUAUUUCAAUUUAGUAAAAUCUAGGUUCGGAUAAUCUAUGUGAUGAAUUUAAAAGAUUGAAGUAUAAUGUGGAUGAA
rnacentral:lncRNA from 1 species